UACGUAGGGUGCAAGCGUUGUCCGGAAUUAUUGGGCGUAAAGAGCGUGUAGGCGGCCCGAUCAGUCCGCUGUAAAAGUCCAGGGCUCAACCCUGGAAGGCCGGUGGAUACUGUCGGGCUAGAGUCCGGAAGAGGCGAGUGGAAUUCCUGGUGUAGCGGUGAAAUGCGCAGAUAUCAGGAGGAACACCAAUGGCGAAGGCAGCUCGCUGGGACGGUACUGACGCUGAGACGCGAAAGCGUGGGGAGCAAACAGG
rnacentral:rRNA from 1 species